UUCCAUUGAAUAUUCAAGGUUGAUUUCCUUUAGGAUUGACUGGUUUGAUCUCCUUGCUAUCCAAGGGACUCUCAAGAGUCUACUCCAGCACCACAGUUUGAAAGCAUCAAUUAUUUGGCAUUCAGCCUAGAAAGAGUAAAGGUGAAGGGAAACAACUUUGUAUACAAGAUAUACCAAAAAAAAGAAAAAAUGUUUACCAUCUUUUCCCAUAGGCAGGAACUUCGGUGGAUGAUCUAGACCAAGUACUAAUCCUCCUCAACUAGAAACAUCAGCAGUGGCUUAACUCUUAACACAUAAUAAAUAUUUAGAUCAUCCUUCUGUGAGUUGUUCAGUGAUUUGGGGAGGGAUUCAGAACAUCUAAUCCAAAGUAAAAUAAUUGCAGUGAUUUUUAUGGGAAUCUUGAGUUUAAUUACUGAUGUUCUUAAAAAGGGUUAUAUGCUUUUUGGCAAUUAUUAUAAGUGUCCUGAGGAAUAAAUGUGUAAUUAUAGAAAGCUGCUACAUCCUUAUUUAAGAACAUUCAAGGACAUAAUAACACCUAAAAUCUAGACAGUUGCCUUCAUCUCAAAUGUAUACAAACUUCCUGCAUGCACUAUUUUAGUUUCCAUUUCUCACUCUCACUGAUAAGAAUACUCUCCACAGUUUUAGCAGGAAGGUGGCACCGGUGGAACGGUUUUUCACCUAAGCAAGUGA